CUGCAAACAAAACACAGUGGGAGCCUUGCCAGGCAAUGGUGUGGUUCCCCUGAGGGGCUGCUAAGUGCUCUACAGAAAGGAACUGGUGACUGGGAGCCUCUUGGAAGGAGAGAGAAACUGGGACUUGCCAGGGAACAGGAAGUAAAUGGAGUGUCUUGUGGAGAUGCCUUGUAGGGAGAGCUGACUGCCAGCCAAAAACCCGUCCAGCUACAAAAGCAGCUGUUUCAGCCCAAAGAAUCUUUUGGUUGCAGCUGGCUGUGCUGUGCCUCCAGAGAGCCUGUGUCACAGGACAGGAGACCUUUCAGCUGGAGAAGUCAGCCACUGUUGAAGCUUGACCCAGAUUCUGAGACCUUGGUCUCCUCCCUGUGCCACCUCUUGUCUGAGCUGAGGCAUCCUCCCACAUGGAGAAAGGAGCUGCAAAAAUCACUGGUCAAUCCGUUCUUCUUCAUGCCUUGUCAGUCCUUGCUAAGAGGGGGUGUGGGACAUUCUCCCCAUAAGUCACGACUUAGGCGAACCACAGGAUCAUCUUCUCAUGGUGGCUUUUAAAAAGGAAGGCUUUGCCUUCCUUUGCUUCAGCCUUUCAGUGAUCCUUUGAGAUCCCACAUGUGUUUGUGACCAUUCCUGAGCCCCAAGCUGGAAUUUCUAAAGCACUACCAGCAGCAACCCCAAGCAAAAUAAUGAUGGCUGAGAGGCAGAAGGAAGCAACGUAUGCUGGAGAA